UCACGCUCCGGUGUGAGCCCAGCCUCGUCACGCUCCGGUGUGAGCCCAGCCUCGUCACGCUCCGGUGUGAGCCCUGCCUCGUCACGCUCCGGUGUCAGCCCAGCCUCGUCACGCUCCGGUGUCAGCCCAGCCUCGUCACGCUCCGGUGUCAGCCCAGAUUCCAGACAAGUCAGGUCACGCUCAGGACCCAGACCAGUCAGGCCCGACGUCUACUCAGUCGAGCUCGGCAGCUGUAGGUAGCCCUGCCGGCUCCGGAGAGGACGCCGUCCCGAUCCCUGUAUGCACCUCCCAGUUAUGGAAUACAUAUAAUGAGCUGAAUCCUUGUCUUCUCUUCAAUGAGAGGAAGUUGCCUUUCCUGUAAACUGGAAACUGGAAACUGGAAACAUGCAAGUAAAAUCCUGAAGAAGAUUUCUCAUCACUACAACAUCCCACCUCCUGCCGAUGACACCACUUUAAGUGUGGGAGGUCACACCAGAGGCUGAUUGUACCAGUAAAUCCCACAGACCUAAACUCACUCUGAAGCUAAAAAAGUGAACAGAUCUAGAUUAAAAUUCACAACCACAACAAAAACUAUUAAAAGUUGAGUCACACCACUUCUUUAUUCCAUUUCAGAUACAGAGGGAAGGAGAACAGUAACAACAUGCACUGGUUGUUUCCAGACCCAGCGUCUCUGAAAAACACAAGCUACAGUACUACAAUACAGUUUUUUUAAAUAUGAGGGUUGUAGAAAUGUCACCAGUUUAGAUCUUGUGAUGAAAAUCAAAUUUCCACUAACUCAGAGUUUUCCACAGUUUAAACAAAACACAUUUGUAGAUCACACAAGUUCUGGUCUAUUUUUCAUUGGUAAGAUGAGGCGGAGGGAAAUGAGGAUGAAGAAUAUCUUGAACUGAUUCAGAUACUUACUUUUACAACAUAUGUAAGAUCUUAGCAUUGGAGCAAACCUUGGACCUUGUUCAGGCGGUAUCAAAUUAGAACCUGAAGCCAGCUGUAGUCAAAAUCUACCUCUACUCCCAACCCUGUCUCUCACAUUAAACUGAACCUAUUGACAGACUGGGCUCUUUAGCGGUGUUUUAACAUGCUUUGAAGUGUUGGACACAAGGUUUGAAACAAAUAUAGAAGCUCUGAAAGUCACAGUUUGAUUUUUAUAUAUUUUAGCACAUUCUGUAACUUCACGUGUUUUGUAUUUUGUUACACAGUUGCUCAGUUGGUAGAGCAUUGACCUAGGUAGCAGAAGGUCCCAGGUUUAAAGCCCACCAGAGCACCAGAGCAAGUGUGUCCUCGAGUAAGAUACCUACAGCAGCACUAGCACUGCAUCUCAAUUAAAAUUUAAACAGUACUAAACGAUAAAAUCUGCAUAUCUCAUAGUAGACGUUCCUGCUGUCCUUAAAGCUUGGGAUGUAUAACAGAUCUGUCAGUCGUUGAUUUAUCUAUGUGUGUGUAUCUGUGUUUGUCUGUGUGUGGGUGUGUGUGUAUAUAAAUAAAACAGAAUUUAACUGAAUUGAAAUCUUAAUGAAUUAUAGAUACAGUACCUGCUCAUUGAUGUGUGUGUUUGUGUGUGUGUGUGUGUGUGUGUGUGUGUGUGUGUGUGUGUCCUGUGAACGUUGUGCAUUUAAACUGAUUUAUAGUUACUGUCUGGUGUUGUAUUUUGAAAGGAUCAUUUCUGGUUUGCUCCUGUCCUUAAUUCCUUACUGUACCUUGAUUGCUUUUAUUGUUUUCACCUGUAUAUAGGUCCACCCUUUACCUAAGGCCUCAGUUGUUUUUCAUCAGCUUGUCACUUAAGGUUGGGCUCAUGCUUUUGCAGUGUUUUCUUGUUUAGUUUGCUGUUGCACUGAAGUCAAGCAGUUGUCAUUGCUGUUUUCUAAGGUGUGUGAAAAUAAAUGAUGGUGAUUUUCUUCAUGUUCUA